AUUCUGGUCUAUUUCCUGCUCCUGUGGAUGUGCUGACUGUUUUGUUGUCUGUGAUGGAUUUUCCUGUUGUUUUAAAAGAAGCCCUAUGUUUUUUAUCACCAAAACUUGAUAUUUACUGUUUAAGUUUUAAAUCUGUGAAUCAUUUUCUGCUUUAAACAUCUGGAUGUGAUGUCACUUUGUCUACAUUUGGCCAGUUUUCCACAGGAAGAAGAAACACCGAAAAUUUGCAACACUCCACGUAAUUUGCCGGCAGCAUGCCAGACUUGCCGGUUCGCUGCACGGUGCCGUACAUCCAGCCCUCGUCGAUGGGCUGAGCGUUGAUGAUGACAUCGCCGUCCCUGAACGAGACCUCGUCGUGGUCCUGAGCCGCGUAGUCAUACAGCGCCCGGUAAACACGCUGCAACAUGACAGUGAGAGGUUAGACUUUGACAUUUGGUCUUUUGUGGACUGUGAUCCGAUGAAGGGAACUCUUAAUGCUCCAGCACAAAAUGAUAUUUUAGACAAAAUGAUAUUUUAGAUAAUACUACACUUGUAACUUUGUGCCAGCAGUUUGUGUUUGUCUCUUUCCUGUUUCAACAUGACGACGCCCAGGUGCACAAAGCUGCUCCAUAAAGAAAAGGUUUUCCCAGUUUGCUGUGGAAGAACUUGACUGGUCUGCACAGAGUCCUGACCUCAACCCCAUCCAACAGCUUUGGGAUGAACUGGAACACCGACUGAGAGCCAGACCUGAUCACCAGGUUGCCCCCCGUGGCAGCGAGAUUGGGUUUGCGUACGCUAUGCCAUGAGUUUGUGCCAGCCUUUCUGUGUGAGCCAGCGUGCAGAUAUUUAACUGUGCUGACUGGCCUGUCAGUGUCCGCGGACCUCCAGCCAGCGGUCUUUGUGUUUUUCACAAAAAGGCAGUAUAAACAGGCAGUGUGGACUGGGAGGAAAGAAUCAGCUGUCCUGUGUCACUUAGAUUUGUGCACACUUUUUCAUUUUUCCAAUCCGGUGAGUUUUAAAAUACUGACUGAUCAAACUGUGAGGGAGAAUACUCAUUUUAUAAGCUGAGACAUAUGAAAUCUGAACUGAGAACCAAGAUAACCAAAAAAUGUCCCAGGACUGUCAUGUGGAAAACAAAUCAGCCUCGGAUUUUAGUGGUGGUGGAUGCUUUCGCGCAGAGGAAGGCGAGAAAGAAAGAGUAAGACAGCUCAGCAUGCACGUUAAUGUUUACGGCAUGUGCUUACUGACAAAUAUCAGGUCAUGUAUAAUGGUGUAACACAUUUCGGUGAGGUGCUUGGUAGCUGUCAGUCAUUCAAAUUUGGGUUACAGUCUGGUAUAUUAAAAUCACUGUGUGGUCACUUCAUAGACACUAAAUAUCAAGUGACAAGAAUCACCUAAAUGCACCAAUAAACAACUAGCCAGCGUGAAACUGGUGAUGGGAUCCCAAAGUAAAACACUGUUGUCCAGAGAUGGCUACAUUCAAUUCGUUUUGAGGAGGAACGUACCAUCGUGGCCGAGUGCGGCGGGGAGGUGACAGAUCUGACAGACGACAUGCUGGUCUGGUGCAUGUAGCCGUGAUACUGCUGCUGCUGCUGCAUCUGGACGCCCUGAUGAUAUGCUCCAGGGAGGACCGGGGCUGGGCGAGAGACAAAGAAACACACAGACAGACAGAAAGAGAGAGAAUAAGUCAGUUUGAAAAGUCUUUACUGCAUCUGUUUGAUACAAUAGUUUGAAGAGCCACCUCUGCUGUGAUCGCACUGUGAAUGUUAGGGAGACUUCAGAGAAUUACGUGAUUCAAACUGUUAAACAACACAACCUGUAAGAAGACUGUGAAUUAGUCAGUUUUCCUUGUGGAUUACAGCACUUCAAACACCGUGGAAAACACAAACACAUGUGAGUGCGUGUCUCCGUCAGCGCCUCCUUCAUGCUGCUAUCGUGGGUCUAAGCGAGAAAGACGGCGUGAGUAGAGAUACCAGGAGUUUCGGUGCUGCUGCGGUCCCAGAGGUCAGAGGUCAGCGAGCUGACAGACUGAGCCUGGCUGUGGGUGAGAGACUGCUGGGAGUGCUGCCUGCUCAGUCUGCGGUCGGCCCGCUCUAACAGGCAGCCACCACCAGGAGGCAGCGCAGGGCGCAGAUAGUCACAUCACGGACAGAAAACAAGGAGAGGAAACAACAAGAAGUAAAAGUGAGCCAACAAAGAGAGAGUGAGGAUUUUUGAUCUAAUGAGAAGAAAUACGGAUACAUAUGACGGUCGCUAUCAACUAAAUAUGUCUUUAAAGGAUAAGGCUGGCGAUAGUCUACAUUUUUCUUAUUGUAAAUAAAUCCCUUGAAAUGACCAAACCCAACAA